AUACGGAGGGUGCAAGCGUUAAUCGGAAUUACUGGGCGUAAAGCGUACGUAGGCGGUUAUUUAAGUCGGAUGUGAAAGCCCCGGGCUUAACUUGGGAACUGCAUUUGAAACUGGGUAACUAGAGUUUAGUAGAGGGGAGUGGAAUUUCAGGUGUAGCGGUGAAAUGCGUAGAGAUCUGAAGGAACACCAGUGGCGAAGGCGACUCCCUGGACUAAAACUGACGCUGAGGUACGAAAGCGUGGGUAGCAAACAGGAUUAGAAACCCGGGUAGUCC
rnacentral:rRNA from 1 species